rnacentral:rRNA from 1 species
UACAUGGGGUGCAAACGUUGCUCGGAAUUAUUGGGCGUAAAGCGUGCGUAGGCGGUGUCUUAAGUUUGUUGUGAAAUCUCCUGGCUUAACCGGGAGGGUGCGGCGAAUACUGAGAUGCUGGAGUGCGGGAGAGGUAAGCGGAAUUCCUGGUGUAGCGGUGAAAUGCGUAGAUAUCAGGAGGAACACCUGCGGUGUAGACGGCUUACUGGACCGUAACUGACGCUGAGGCACGAAAGCGUGGGUAGCAAACAGG